rnacentral:rRNA from 1 species
AGAGUUUGAUCCUGGCUCAGGAUGAACGCUGGCGGCGUGCUUAACACAUGCAAGUCGAACGGUGAAAGAGAGCUUGCUCUCUGGAUCAGUGGCGAACGGGUGAGUAACACGUGAGCAAUCUGCCCCUGACUCUGGGAUAAGCGCUGGAAACGGCGUCUAAUACCGGAUACGAGCUGCGAAGGCAUCUUCAGCAGCUGGAAAGAACUUCGGUCAGGGAUGAGCUCGCGGCCUAUCAGCUAGUUGGUGAGGUAAUGGCUCACCAAGGCGUCGACGGGUAGCCGGCCUGAGAGGGUGACCGGCCACACUGGGACUGAGACACGGCCCAGACUCCUACGGGAGGCAGCAGUGGGGAAUAUUGCACAAUGGGCGCAAGCCUGAUGCAGCAACGCCGCGUGAGGGACGACGGCCUUCGGGUUGUAAACCUCUUUUAGCAGGGAAGAAGCGAAAGUGACGGUACCUGCAGAAAAAGCACCGGCUAACUACGUGCCAGCAGCCGCGGUAAUACGUAGGGUGCAAGCGUUAUCCGGAAUUAUUGGGCGUAAAGAGCUCGUAGGCGGUUUGUCGCGUCUGCUGUGAAAACCCGAGGCUCAACCUCGGGCCUGCAGUGGGUACGGGCAGACUAGAGUGCGGUAGGGGAGAUUGGAAUUCCUGGUGUAGCGGUGGAAUGCGCAGAUAUCAGGAGGAACACCGAUGGCGAAGG